GCAUUAAUGGGGUAGUGGUAACCUGGGUCGUUGCCAUACCUAAUCCAGGCAUUCUUCGACCCGCCGGGGGUUCGAUUCCCUCUUAAUGCA